GGCGCGGUAGCCAAGUGGUAAGGCACGGGUCUGCAAAACCUGUAUUCACCGGUUCGAUUCCGGUCCGCGCCUCCA
rnacentral:tRNA from 1 species